rnacentral:rRNA from 1 species
AACGAACGCUGGCGGCAGGCCUAACACAUGCAAGUCGAGCGAGACCUUCGGGUCUAGCGGCGGACGGGUGAGUAACGCGUGGGAAUAUGCCCUUUGGUACGGAAUAGCCUCGGGAAACUGAGAGUAGUACCGUAUGUGCCCUUCGGGGGAAAGAUUUAUCGCCAAAGGAUUAGCCCGCGUUGGAUUAGGUAGUUGGUGGGGUAAUGGCCUACCAAGCCUACGAUCCAUAGCUGGUUUGAGAGGAUGAUCAGCCACACUGGGACUGAGACACGGCCCAGACUCCUACGGGAGGCAGCAGUGGGGAAUCUUAGACAAUGGGGGCAACCCUGAUCUAGCCAUGCCGCGUGAGUGAUGAAGGCCUUAGGGUUGUAAAGCUCUUUCAGCUGGGAAGAUGAUGACGGUACCAGCAGAAGAAGCCCCGGCUAACUCCGUGCCAGCAGCCGCCGUAA